rnacentral:rRNA from 1 species
AUUGAACGCUGGCGGCAUGCUUUACACAUGCAAGUCGAACGGUAACAGGCCGCAAGGUGCUGACGAGUGGCGGACGGGUGAGUAAUGCAUCGGAACGUGCCCAGUCGUGGGGGAUAACUACUCGCAAGAGUAGCUAAUACCGCAUACGAUCUAUGGAUGAAAGCGGGGGACCGUAAGGCCUCGCGCGAUUGGAGCGGCCGAUGUCAGAUUAGGUAGUUGGUGGGGUAAAGGCUCACCAAGCCAACGAUCUGUAGCUGGUCUGAGAGGACGACCAGCCACACUGGGACUGAGACACGGCCCAGACUCCUACGGGAGGCAGCAGUGGGGAAUUUUGGACAAUGGGCGCAAGCCUGAUCCAGCAAUGCCGCGUGCAGGAAGAAGGCCUUCGGGUUGUAAACUGCUUUUGUACGGAACGAAACGGCUCUGGUUAAUACCCGGGGCUAAUGACGGUACCGUAAGAAUAGGCACCGGCUAACUACGUG